GGUUAAGCGACUAAGCGUACACGGUGGAUGCCCUGGCAGUCAGAGGCGAUGAAGGACGUGCUAAUCUGCGAAAAGCGUCGGUAAGGUGAUAUGAACCGUUAUAACCGGCGAUGUCCGAAUGGGGAAACCCAGUGCAAUUCGUUGCACUAUCGUUAACUGAAUACAUAGGUUAACGAGGCGAACCGGGGAACUGAAACAUCUAAGUACCCCGAGGAAAAGAAAUCAACCGAGAUUCCCCAGUAGCGGCGAGCGAACGGGGAGCAGCCCAGAGUCUGAAUCAGCUUGUGUGUUAGUGGAACGGUCUGGAAAGUCCGACGGUACAGGGUGAUAGUCCCGUACACCAAAAUGCACAGGUUGUGAACUCGAAGAGUAGGGCGGGACACGUGGUAUCCUGUCUGAAUAUGGGGACCAUCCUCCAAGGCUAAAUACUCCUGACUGACCGAUAGUGAACCAGUACCGUGAGGGAAAGGCGAAAAGAACCCCGGCGAGGGAGUGAAAAAGAACCUGAAACCGUGUACGUACAAGCAGUGGGAGCACCUUCGGGUGUGACUGCGUACCUUUGUAUAAUGGGUCAGCGACUUAUAUUCUGUAGCAAGGUUAACCGUAUAGGGAGCCGCAGGAAACCGAGUCUUAACUGGGCGUUAAGUUGCAGGGUAUAGACCCGAAACCCGGUGAUCUAGCCAUGGGCAGGUUGAAGGUUGGGUAACACUAACUGGAGGACCGAACCGACUAAUGUUGAAAAAUUAGCGGAUGACUUGUGGCUGGGGUGAAAGGCCAAUCAAACCGGGAGAUAGCUGGUUCUCCCGAAAGCUAUUUAGGUAGCGCCUCGUGAAUUCAUCUUCGGGGUAGAGCACUGUUUCGGCUAGGGGUCAUCCCGACUUACCAACCCGAUGCAAACUACGAAUACCGAAGAAUGUUAUCACGGGAGACACACGGCGGGUGCUAACGUCCGUCGUGAAGAGGGAAACAACCCAGACCGCCAGCUAAGGUCCCAAAGUCAUGGUUAAGUGGGAAACGAUGUGGGAAGGCACAGACAGCCAGGAUGUUGGCUUAGAAGCAGCCAUCAUUUAAAGAAAGCGUAAUAGCUCACUGGUCGAGUCGGCCUGCGCGGAAGAUGUAACGGGGCUAAACCAUGCACCGAAGCUGCGGCAGCGACACUAUGUGUUGUUGGGUAGGGGAGCGUUCUGUAAGCCUGCGAAGGUGUGCUGUGAGGCAUGCUGGAGGUAUCAGAAGUGCGAAUGCUGACAUAAGUAACGAUAAAGCGGGUGAAAAGCCCGCUCGCCGGAAGACCAAGGGUUCCUGUCCAACGUUAAUCGGGGCAGGGUGAGUCGACCCCUAAGGCGAGGCCGAAAGGCGUAGUCGAUGGGAAACAGGUUAAUAUUCCUGUACUUGGUGUUACUGCGAAGGGGGACGGAGAAGGCUAUGUUAGCCGGGCGACGGUUGUCCCGGUUUAAGCAUGUAGGCUGAUUAUCCAGGCAAAUCCGGAUAAUCAAGGCUGAGGUGUGAUGACGAGGCACUACGGUGCUGAAGUAACAAAUGCCCUGCUUCCAGGAAAAGCCUCUAAGCAUCAGGUAACAUCAAAUCGUACCCCAAACCGACACAGGUGGUCAGGUAGAGAAUACCAAGGCGCUUGAGAGAACUCGGGUGAAGGAACUAGGCAAAAUGGUGCCGUAACUUCGGGAGAAGGCACGCUGGUGUGUAGGUGAAGCCCCUGCGGGUGGAGCUGAGACCAGUCGAAGAUACCAGCUGGCUGCAACUGUUUAUUAAAAACACAGCACUGUGCAAACACGAAAGUGGACGUAUACGGUGUGACGCCUGCCCGGUGCCGGAAGGUUAAUUGAUGGGGUUAUCCGUAAGGAGAAGCUCUUGAUCGAAGCCCCGGUAAACGGCGGCCGUAACUAUAACGGUCCUAAGGUAGCGAAAUUCCUUGUCGGGUAAGUUCCGACCUGCACGAAUGGCGUAAUGAUGGCCAGGCUGUCUCCACCCGAGACUCAGUGAAAUUGAACUCGCUGUGAAGAUGCAGUGUACCCGCGGCAAGACGGAAAGACCCCGUGAACCUUUACUAUAGCUUGACACUGAACAUUGAGCCUUGAUGUGUAGGAUAGGUGGGAGGCUUUGAAGCGUGGACGCCAGUCUGCGUGGAGCCAACCUUGAAAUACCACCCUUUAAUGUUUGAUGUUCUAACGUUGGCCCCUGACCGGGGUUGCGGACAGUGUCUGGUGGGUAGUUUGACUGGGGCGGUCUCCUCCCAAAGCGUAACGGAGGAGCACGAAGGUUAGCUAAUCCUGGUCGGACAUCAGGAGGUUAGUGCAAUGGCAUAAGCUAGCUUGACUGCGAGCGUGACGGCGCGAGCAGGUGCGAAAGCAGGUCAUAGUGAUCCGGUGGUUCUGAAUGGAAGGGCCAUCGCUCAACGGAUAAAAGGUACUCCGGGGAUAACAGGCUGAUACCGCCCAAGAGUUCAUAUCGACGGCGGUGUUUGGCACCUCGAUGUCGGCUCAUCACAUCCUGGGGCUGAAGUAGGUCCCAAGGGUAUGGCUGUUCGCCAUUUAAAGUGGUACGCGAGCUGGGUUUAGAACGUCGUGAGACAGUUCGGUCCCUAUCUGCCGUGGGCGCUGGAGAAUUGAGGGGCUGCUCCUAGUACGAGAGGACCGGAGUGGACGCAUCACUGGUGUUCGGGUUGUCAUGCCAAUGGCACUGCCCGGUAGCUAAAUGCGGAAGAGAUAAGUGCUGAAAGCAUCUAAGCACGAAACUUGCCCCGAGAUGAGUUCUCCUGAGACUUUAAGUCUCCUGAAGGAACGUUGAAGACGACGACGUUGAUAGGCCGGGUGUGUAAGCGCAGCGAUGCGUUGAGCUAACCGGUACUAAUGAACCGUGAGGCUUAACCUU
rnacentral:rRNA from 1 species